AGCAUUUAUGUGUUGCCCGUUCAUUUCCUUUUUUUAAGUGAACGUGGUGUCAGAGAAGGCAUAGGUUAACUCUUGUUGUGAUCUUAAGUGGAAUUCAGAGUGCUUCCAUUAAAUAAGCAUUGCACUAAGAAAAUAA